rnacentral:misc_RNA from 1 species
UCUCCGUUGGUGAACCAGCGGAGGGAUCAUUACCGAGUUUACAACUCCCAAACCCAAUGUGAACGUUACCAAACUGUUGCCUCGGCGGGAUCUCUGCCCCGGGUGCGACGCAGCCCCGGACCAAGGCGCCCGCCGGAGGACCAACCAAAACUCUUUAUGUAUACCCCCUCGCGGGUUUUUUUACAAUCUGAGCCAUCUCGGCGCCCCUCGUGGGCGUUUCGAAAAUGAAUCAAAACUUUCAACAACGGAUCUCUUGGUUCUG